rnacentral:rRNA from 1 species
UACGUAGGGUGCGAGCGUUAAUCGGAAUUACUGGGCGUAAAGCGUGCGCAGGCGGUUUUGCAAGCCGGAUGUGAAAUCCCCGGGCUCAACCUGGGAAUUGCAUUCGAGACUGCAUGGCUAGGGUGCGGAAGAGGGAAGCGGAAUUUCCGGUGUAGCGGUGAAAUGCGUAGAUAUCGGAAGGAACACCAGUGGCGAAAAGCGGCUUCCUGGUCCAGCACCGACGUCAGGCACGAAAGCGUGGGGAGCAAACAGG